UGGGGGAUAUUGCACAAUGGGCGAAAGCCUGAUGCAGCAACGCCGCGUGAGGGAAGACGGUUUUCGGAUUGUAAACCUCUGUCUUUGGUGACGAAACAAAUGACGGUAGCCAAGGCGGAAGCCACGGCUCACUACGUGCCAGCAGCCGCGGUAAUACGUAGGUGGCGAGCGUUGUCCGGAAUUACUGGGUGUAAAGGGAGCGCAGGCGGGGAGACAAGUCAGCUGUGAAAACGAUCGGCUUAACGGAUAGAGUGCAGUUGAAACUGUUUGUCUUGAGUGGAGCAGAGGCAGGCGGAAUUCCGAGUGUAGCGGUGAAAUGCGUAGAUAUGCGGAGGAACACCAGUGGCGAAGGCGGCCUGCUGGGCUUUAACUGACGCUGAGGCUCGAAAGUGUGGGGAGCAAACA
rnacentral:rRNA from 1 species